GUGCCAGCCGCCGCGGUAACACCGGCAGCCCGAGUGAUGGCCGAUAUUAUUGGGCCUAAAGCGUCCGUAGCUGGCCGCGCAAGUUCGUCGGGAAAUCCACUCGCUUAACGAGUGGGCGUCCGGCGAAAACUGUGCGGCUUGGGACCGGAAGAUCCAAGGGGUACGUCCGGGGUAGGAGUGAAAUCCCGUAAUCCUGGACGGACCACCGAUGGCGAAAGCACCUUGGAAGGACGGAUCCGACAGUGAGGGACGAAAGCUAGGGUCUCGAACCGGAUUAGAAACCCCAGUAGUC
rnacentral:rRNA from 1 species